GUUCACCAUCUUUUUAGAAUGCUCUUUCCAGAAAGGCACACCAGAUGACAAUUUAUCAUUUUACCACCAGGGUAUAUCAUUUUUAUUCUUUGACAUAUGGGCAGCUUUAAUUAUAUUGUUGCAGUUGCUCAAUCUGGACUUUAGUGCUGCUGUGCUAAUGCCAUGUGUUUUAAUGUUUAGAAAAAUAGAAAAUAUUUAUUGUAAAUAGUUUUGAGACUUCGUAUAAAACAUCAUUCAAUAAUUGUAGGUGGUUGGUUAUUAUAACCAUCAUAUGCAGCUAUGAAGACAGAGACUGUAUUAGAAUUAGCUUUACUAGGAAAUCCACACUUUAAAAUAUACAGGCUUCCCAAAUUAAUUUCUUUCAAAAUCUGCCAAUCCAAUGUUCAGAACAGCUUUUACAGAAAUGGAGAAAUAUGGUUGAAUAUGUUUACUUAGAAAUGGAAAAGCAAAAAUUGCUAGGAAGAUGAAUCACAGUAUGGAAAGAAGGCUGGAAUAUUGCAUCGGAUGGUGCUGUGGUUUAAAGCGGCAAGUUAAGUAUUUUAGGCCUCUGCUUGAUUAUUUUCUUCAUUCUCAGACUUUUUUAGUUAAUCUGUCAUAAGCAAAUUGGAAAGCCUCAUCACCACAGUCAUAUGCUGGAGGCAGCAGUGUUACUCUGCAAUUACUCUGGCAGAUGAUGUUCUUGCCCUUAUUCUGAAAAAAGGUCUAGAGCUGUGCUUUCCCUCUACUGUGCCACUUUCUAUGUUCCUCCUCUUCAAGAUUGUUAUUAGUUUAAAUACUGCUUAAUGCUCUUAAAAUAGGUUUCUAAGUGGUUUAAGAUAAGAGGAUAAGAGAAACCUGGUAAACAGAAAGCAGCUUUUACAAUGGCAGAAGUAGUAAGAAGAUACCACUACCCUUUCUGAACUCUGGCUCUCUUAAAGCAUUCAUUUGAAUUUAACAAAAAAAAAA